rnacentral:rRNA from 1 species
UACGGGGGGGGCAAGCGUUGUUCGGAAUUACUGGGCGUAAAGGGCGCGUAGGCGGCCUUCUAAGUCAGACGUGAAAUCCCCCGGCUUAACCUGGGAACUGCGUCUGAUACUGGGAGGCUUGAGUAUGGGAGAGGGAUGUAGAAUUCCAGGUGUAGCGGUGAAAUGCGUAGAUAUCGGGAGGAACACCUGUGGCGAAGGCGGCCCCCUGGUUGGAUACUGACGCUGAUACGCGAAAGCGUGGGGAGCAAACAGG